CCUACGGGUGGCAGCAGUGAGGAAUAUUGGUCAAUGGACGAGAGCCUGAACCAGCCAAGUAGCGUGAAGGAAGAAUGCCCUAUGGGUUGUAAACUUCUUUUAUAUGGGAAUAAAAUGUUCCAUGCGUGGGAUUUUGUAUGUACCAUACGAAUAAGGAUCGGCUAACUCCGUGCCAGCAGCCGCGGUAAUACGGAGGAUCCGAGCGUUAUCCGGAUUUAUGGGGUUUAAAGGGAGCGUAGGUGGAUUGUUAAGUCAGUUGUGAAAGUUUGCGGCUCAACCGUAAAAUUGCAGUGGAAACUGGUAGUCUUGAGUACAGUAGAGGUAGGCGGAAUUCGUGGUGUAGCGGUGAAAUGCUUAGAGAUCACGAGGAACUCCGAUGGCGAAGGCAGCUUACUGGACUGCAACUGACGCUGAGGCUCGAAAGUGUGGGUAUCAAACAGGAUUAGAUACCCUAGUAGUC
rnacentral:rRNA from 1 species